AUGAACGCUAGCUACAGGCUUAACACAUGCAAGUCGAGGGGCAGCAUGGUCUUAGCUUGCUAAGGCCGAUGGCGACCGGCGCACGGGUGAGUAACACGUAUCCAACCUGCCGUCUACUCUUGGACAGCCUUCUGAAAGGAAGAUUAAUACAAGAUGGCAUCAUGAGUCCGCAUGUUCACAUGAUUAAAGGUAUUCCGGUAGACGAUGGGGAUGCGUUCCAUUAGAUAGUAGGCGGGGUAACGGCCCACCUAGUCUUCGAUGGAUAGGGGUUCUGAGAGGAAGGUCCCCCACAUUGGAACUGAGACACGGUCCAAACUCCUACGGGAGGCAGCAGUGAGGAAUAUUGGUCAAUGGGCGAGAGCCUGAACCAGCCAAGUAGCGUGAAGGAUGACUGCCCUAUGGGUUGUAAACUUCUUUUAUAAAGGAAUAAAGUCGGGUAUGGAUACCCGUUUGCAUGUACUUUAUGAAUAAGGAUCGGCUAACUCCGUGCCAGCAGCCGCGGUAAUACGGAGGAUCCGAGCGUUAUCCGGAUUUAUUGGGUUUAAAGGGAGCGUAGAUGGAUGUUUAAGUCAGUUGUGAAAGUUUGCGGCUCAACCGUAAAAUUGCAGUUGAUACUGGAUAUCUUGAGUGCAGUUGAGGCAGGCGGAAUUCGUGGUGUAGCGGUGAAAUGCUUAGAUAUCACGAAGAACUCCGAUUGCGAAGGCAGCCUGCUAAGCUGCAACUGACAUUGAGGCUCGAAAGUGUGGGUAUCAAACAGGAUUAGAUACCCUGGUAGUCCACACGGUAAACGAUGAAUACUCGCUGUUUGCGAUAUACUGCAAGCGGCCAAGCGAAAGCGUUAAGUAUUCCACCUGGGGAGUACGCCGGCAACGGUGAAACUCAAAGGAAUUGACGGGGGCCCGCACAAGCGGAGGAACAUGUGGUUUAAUUCGAUGAUACGCGAGGAACCUUACCCGGGCUUAAAUUGCAGAUGAAUUACGGUGAAAGCCGUAAGCCGCAAGGCAUCUGCGAAGGUGCUGCAUGGUUGUCGUCAGCUCGUGCCGUGAGGUGUCGGCUUAAGUGCCAUAACGAGCGCAACCCUUGUUGUCAGUUACUAACAGGUUCCGCUGAGGACUCUGACAAGACUGCCAUCGUAAGAUGUGAGGAAGGUGGGGAUGACGUCAAAUCAGCACGGCCCUUACGUCCGGGGCUACACACGUGUUACAAUGGGGGGUACAGAGGGCCGCUACCACGCGAGUGGAUGCCAAUCCCCAAAACCUCUCUCAGUUCGGACUGGAGUCUGCAACCCGACUCCACGAAGCUGGAUUCGCUAGUAAUCGCGCAUCAGCCACGGCGCGGUGAAUACGUUCCCGGGCCUUGUACACACCGCCCGUCAAGCCAUGGGAGCCGGGGGUACCUGAAGUGCGUAACCGCGAGGAGCGCCCUAGGGUAAAACUGGUGACUGGGGCU
rnacentral:rRNA from 1 species